UAUAAAAAACUAUCUUUUCCGACCCAAGCCGCGUGUGUCCCGAAAAAGUGCAUAGAAACUUUAGAAAAAUCUAACGGCAUCCGCGACCUAAUCAGCUAAUUUAGCUAACAGGCGCACACCCGCCAAUCCCGAGCUAAAAAAGGCCCAAUACCGCGUGCUAUCACGGCUGGCUGCUCCGGCAUUGCCUUACAUAAAGGCCUUAGGAUUAAAUUCAACUAUAUCAGUCAAACAUAGGGCAGCUCUACCUCCCAUUUUCAUCAUCGCCUUACAAAAGGGCUAGCAACAACCCUUUCGACCCAGCAGCUAUUUUUAGCGUGGUCGCAGCAACACAAUUCAAGCUUUAACUUCGUCGCCUGUUGUUGUAUCCUACCCGCGCUAUUCAAGGCGGCUGAGCAGCGCGAAGGUAAGAUCAACGUCCACAACUGCGACGAGGGAGGAAUCUUCGCCAGGCCAGGAUCGACAGAUACUUAAAACCAAGAUAAACCCCUUUGCCAUUUGACUAAAUUUUAUUUUUAUUAAAGCUUUUAGGCUAGUGUUGGCGCUUUUGUU